UGUGGGCCGAUGAUGCAAACCUUGCUCCUACGGUCUAACCUGUGGGGAGGAUUUGUAAAGUAUAUUUCCCAAGAGCUGAGGCCCCUA
rnacentral:snoRNA from 1 species